UAAUACGAAGGGUGCUAGCGUUGUUCGGAAUGACUGGGCGUAAAGGGCGCGUAGGCGGCUAGAUACGUUUGAUGUGAAAUCCCUGGGCUUAACCUAGGAACUGCAUUGAAUACGGUCUAGCUAGAGUCCGCGAGAGGAAGAUGGAAUAGUGCGUGUAGAGGUGAAAUUCGUAGAGAUGCACUAGAACACCGGUGGCGAAGGCGAUCUUCUGGAGCGGUACUGACGCUAAGGCGCGAAAGCGUGGGGAGCAAACAGG
rnacentral:rRNA from 1 species